GGAACAUACACAGCACAGGGGGAUAACCAUUGGAAACGAUGGCUAAUACCGCAUACGCCCUAUUGGGGAAAGAUUUAUCGGUGUUGGAUUGGCCCGCGUUAGAUUAGCUAGUUGGUGGGGUAAUGGCUCACCAAGGCGACGAUUUAUAGCUGGUUUGAGAGGAUGAUCAGCAACACUGGAACUGAGACACGGUCCAGACUCCUACGGGAGGCAGCAGUCGGGAAUAUUGUGCAAUGGGGGCAACCCUGACACAGCCAUGCCGCGUGAGUGAAGAAGGCCUUAGGGUUGUAAAGCUCUUUCAGAUGUGAGGAUGAUGACGAUAGCAUCAGAAGAAGCUCCGGCUAACUUCGUGCCAGCAGCCGCGGUAAUACGAAGGGAGCUAGCGUUGUUCG
rnacentral:rRNA from 1 species